UACGGAGGGUCCAAGCGUUAUCCGGAAUCAUUGGGUUUAAAGGGUCCGUAGGCGGUUUUGUAAGUCAGUGGUGAAAGCCCAUCGCUCAACGGUGGAACGGCCAUUGAUACUGCAAGACUUGAAUUAUUAGGAAGUAACUAGAAUAUGUAGUGUAGCGGUGAAAUGCUUAGAGAUUACAUGGAAAUUACCAAUUGCGAAGGCAGGUUACUACCAAUAUAUUGACGCUGAU
rnacentral:rRNA from 1 species